UUUCUUUGUUAUGCUGUCGGCUGACGGUCACGGAAUCCGGUGCAAUACCGGAGCGGUCCCGCCACUGUAAACGAUUCGUACCGUUUCCGCUUCCCGAACGGGAUGCGGGGAGGUACGCCGUUCCGCACGUACGCCAUUGCCGGAAGGUGAGAAGGCGCGGAACGGAGCCGUAAGCCAGGAGACGCCCGUCGCAUCUUAUUUUUU
rnacentral:ncRNA from 2 species